rnacentral:rRNA from 1 species
CUAACAAGGAUUCCCCUAGUAACUGCGAGUGAAACGGGAAAAGCUCAAAUUUAAAAUCUGACAGUCUUUGGCUGUUCGAGUUGUAAUCUGGAGAAGCGUCUUCCGUGCUGGACCGUGUACAAGUCUCCUGGAACGGAGCGUCAUAGAGGGUGAGAAUCCCGUCUUUGACACGGACUACCAGUGCUUUGUGAUGCGCUCUCAAAGAGUCGAGUUGUUUGGGAAUGCAGCUCCAAAUGGGUGGUAAACUCCAUCUAAAGCUAAAUAUUGGCGAGAGACCGAUAGCGAACAAGUACCGUGAGGGAAAGAUGAAAAGCACUUUGGAAAGAGAGUUAAACAGUACGUGAAAUUGCUGAAAGGGAAACGCUUGAAGUCAGUCGCGUUUGCUAGGACUCAGCCUUGCCUCGGCUUGGUGCAUUUCCUAGUGAACGGGCCAGCAUCACUUUUGGCUGCGGGAAAAAGGUCAGAGGAAUGUGGCACCUCCGGGUGUGUUAUAGCCUCGGGCUGUAUACCGUGGCUGGGAGUGAGGAACUCAGCACGCCUUAAUGGCGGGGCUUCGGCCACCUUCGUGCUUAGGAUGCUGGCGUAAUGGCUUUAAACGACCCGUCUUGAAACACGGACCAAGGAGUCUAACAUGCCUGCGAGUGUUUGGGUGGAAAACCCGAGCGCGCAAUGAAAGUGAAAGUUGGGACCUCUGUCGUGGAGGGCACCGACGCCCGGACCUGAACCUCGGUGACGGCUCUGCGGUAGAGCAUGCAUGUUGGGACCCGAAAGAUGGUGAACUAUGCCUGAAUAGGGUGAAGCCAGAGGAAACUCUGGUGGAGGCUCGUAGCGAUUCUGACGUGCAAAUCGAUCGUCAAAUUUGGGUAUAGGGGCGAAAGACUAAUCGAACCAUCUAGUAGCUGGUUCCUGCCGA